GAUCAUGGCUCAGGAUGAACGCUAGCUACAGGCUUAACACAUGCAAGUCGAGGGGCAGCAUGGUCUUAGCCUGCUAAGGCCGAUGGCGACCGGCGCACGGGUGAGUAACACGUAUCCAACCUGCCGUCUACUCUUGGACAGCCUUCUGAAAGGAAGAUUAAUACAAGAUGGCAUCAUGAGUCCGCAUGUUCACAUGAUUAAAGGUAUUCCGGUGGACGAUGGGGA
rnacentral:rRNA from 1 species